GCCUGGGGACGGUCUGUGGUGUAGAGGGCUCUGGGGACGGUCUGGGGUAGAGGGCUCUGGGGACGGUCUGUGGUGUAGAGGGCUCUGGGGACGGUCUGUGGUGUAGCUCUGGGGGACGGUCUGUGGUGUAGAGGGCUCUGGGGGACGGUCUGUGGUGUAGAGGGCUCUGGGUGGCGGGGGACCCUCUGGUGCUCUGCUUCAUCGUCCAGCCUCUCCAAACGGAGCCGAUCGCAUUAGCAACACGUCAUAGGCAUAGAGAGAUGGGAGACCAGGACCCCCAGGGCCGGGUCUGAACCAGGGCCGGUCUGAACCAGGACCCCCCUGGGCCGGUCUGAACCAGGACCCCCCAGGGCCGGUCUGAACCAGGACCCCCCAGGGCCGGUCUGAACCAGGACCCCCCUGGGCCGGUCUGAACCAGGACCCCCCAGGGCCGGUCUGAACCAGGGCCGGUCUGAACCAGGACCCCCAGGGCCGGUCUGAACCAGGACCCCCAGGGCCGGUCUGGACCAGGACCCCCCAGGGCCGGUCCAAAGGGGUCCGUUUGAGAGCCCUCGACCAAGGAGGUGAAUCGUACCAGAGGUACAGUGUACCAGAGGUACACUGUACACUGUACCAGCGGUAACCCGUACCAGAGGUACACUGUACCAGCGGUAACCCGUACCAGAGGAACACUGUACCAGCGCUACACCAUACCAGUGUGUGCCUUUUCCCAGAAGCUUGGACCUGAGGCAGCAGCCGGUUGGAGGUCUGUAGGUCCAGAGACAAACACUCUGACACGCCCACACGGUGAGCUCAGCCCGUGAGAGGACCUUUCCAUUGAAGUAGAACGCAUACAUCUUCAGGAAUAGAUGGGGAAAUGGACAAAACAUUAUUUUUAAUAAUUGCCAAACACAAAUUCACCCGUCUUUAGAUGACGGUAAACUGAACCCCGACCGGGUUGAGUCGGGGUUCAGAGAAGCCCUCACGUUACGGAGCAGCGCUGAGACCUGCCUUACUGAUUGUGACUCCUAACAGAAAUGAAACAAUGUGAUAUUUGCACCCUUUAAUGUGAUAUGAUUAACCAUUUAGCGUGAAUAUUGGUUAUCUUUUGUAACAAAUUGUACUGCUUUUAUACAAAUGAGACUCAAGCACAUGUGGAAACGCAAAUAACUUUUUAGCGGUGCCUCUGAAUAGAGGAGGCAUUAUGGUGUGUAUUUAUGGACUAAUGUUUACUCACUGUGUAUAAUGACAAUAAUAAAGAGUGAUUUUAAGGCUUUGUUUGUGCUUGUGGGUGAAUUUAUAUUUUAACCUCCACGAUGUGGUCGAUAAACCUCCCAUUUUACUUGUAACAUAAAUAUCUUUCCUGGAAAUGUCGCCACAAGACAUGACAUCUGUUUGAGGAUUGGGGAGCUGUGUGUCUCUGAGUUUGGGUUCUACAGGUUCAGCUCUUUGUGGUCUGGGCUGCAGCCUGGGUCCGUUCAGUCCAAGGCCUCGUGUGGAGGCCUCUUCUUACACCCAGAACACGCCAGGGUGAAUGCAUUCUGCCUCCCUGCGUGUGCUAAGCCCUGCUACAACCAGUGUUGCCAGAUUGGGCCCGAUUUCACGCCCAAUCUGGUGACCCUGGGGUUGCCAGAUUGGGCGGGAAAUCAGGGUAGAGAUGCUCUGGCUACAUCCAGCGCCAGGGAGCUCCUCAAUACUCCUGCUCUUCAACAUUUCUUCCCCUAUCUCAGCCUCU
ensembl:lncRNA